UACGUAGGGUGCAAGCGUUGUCCGGAAUUAUUGGGCGUAAAGAGCUCGUAGGCGGUUUGUCACGUCGGAUGUGAAAACCCGAGGCUUAACCUCGGGCCUGCAUUCGAUACGGGCUGACUAGAGUUCGGUAGGGGAGACUGGAAUUCCUGGUGUAGCGGUGAAAUGCGCAGAUAUCAGGAGGAACACCUAUUGCGAAGGCAGCUCGCUGGGACGUAACUGACGCUGAGACGCGAAAGCGUGGGGAGCAAACAGG
rnacentral:rRNA from 1 species